rnacentral:misc_RNA from 1 species
UCGGAGUUCAGUCUUCCCAGGCCCNCCACUUUCAUCGAGUGAGCAUUCGUCUUCUGGUUACGGGGCCAUAGCUCAGCUGGGAGAGCGCGUGCUUUGCAAGCAUGAGGUCGUCGGUUCGAUCCCGUCUGGCUCCACCAGAUGGUUUGAUCACCAACGGCGUAACCGUCGUCCGCGAAACAUCACUUCGCACUCAUUGGUCCGGAUGGACGGUGACGUGCGUGUUUUCUGACAUCGUAAAGAGGAGAUCGAUCCGAGUUUGGAUCAAGCGAAGCAAUUCGCCUGAACCAUUCACUAUCUCCGGGAUCAUUUCGGCGCUCGCUUCAUUCGUGAGAUUGAAUGCGGGUUGUAAAUGAUCUCUGUUAGCGAAGCUUGACCGCCUCGCUAUCGGGCCGAUCUUACGAAGCAAGCUGGUCUUUCUAGUCAAUGUCCGGCUGCGCAAUCGCAUUCAUCGAGGAUGCGCGCCUGAGACUUCGGUCUUUGGGCAGUUGUGCAGACAACAUUCUGCCGAGUGUGUGGACAUUGAUAAUGAGAGCAAUCAAGUGCCUUAAGGGUGUUCGGUGGAUGCCUUGGCGCUGAGAGGCGAUGAAGGACGUGCUACGCUGCGAUAAGCCGUGGGGAGCUGCGAAGAAGCUUUGAUCCGCGGAUUUCCGAAUGG